AUUGAACGCUGGCGGCAUGCCUUACACAUGCAAGUCGAACGGCAGCACGGGUGCUUGCCCCUGGUGGCGAGUGGCGAACGGGUGAGUAAUACAUCGGAACAUGUCCUGUAGUGGGGGAUAGCCCGGCGAAAGCCGGAUUAAUACCGCAUACGAUCCACGGAUGAAAGCGGGGGACCUUCGGGCCUCGCGCUAUAGGGUUGGCCGAUGGCUGAUUAGCUAGUUGGUGGGGUAAAGGCCUACCAAGGCGACGAUCAGUAGCUGGUCUGAGAGGACGACCAGCCACACUGGGCCUGAGACACGGCCCAGACUCCUACGGGAGGCAGCAGUGGGGAAUUUUGGACAAUGGGCGAAAGCCUGAUCCAGCAAUGCCGCGUGUGUGAAGAAGGCCUUCGGGUUGUAAAGCACUUUUGUCCGGAAAGAAAUCCUUGACUCUAAUACAGUCGGGGGAUGACGGUACCGGAAGAAUAAGCACCGGCUAACUACGG
rnacentral:rRNA from 1 species